rnacentral:lncRNA from 1 species
ACAGAAGGCUGAUUGGGGCCCGGGAUACAGUGUUUGCUCUCAGCUUGCACUGAACGUGGCAGGCCGCACCUGCCUUCCAGACAGCCUACAAGCGAGUUUAUGCUAACGCUGAUACUCUUGCUAAAACAACUCGAAGCACGGGUAACAGAUGUUAAAUAGAAGAGGAAUGAGAAGCAAACCAUUUCUCUUUUUUAUGUGCAUUUUUGUGUGUCUGUUUGUUUGUGGAGCAGGGGUUUUAUCCCUGCAAGAAUCACAGUCGCUCUCCUCUGCAAAAAUGAUACCCCAUCUGUCAUCUGGACGUCAACGCCGAAAUCAUGGGCGCUGAUGGAGGGCCUUAUUUCAGCCAUGUGUCUCAAGGAGAGGGGUUCGCAAGCUUCCAGGAGCAUUGGAAUCCCGUGGCGACCUUGUCUGACUGCAGAGCACCAGCCUCACCUCCAGAGUUUUUGACUCAGUAGGUCUGGGCUGGAGUCUAGGAAUGAGCAGUCUAACAAUUUACCAGGUAAGGCUGAUGCUGCAGGAACCCCACCUUCAGAAUCACUGCUCUAGGACGGCAAGGAGAAAAGCCUAAGAUCAUCCACUGUGCAGCCUCAGGCCCAGCCUGAUUGGUUUUUCAAGACUCUGCGGUGGAGCCGGCUAUGUUUGGAUCUGAGCAGGUAAACCAGGCCAGUGGAGAAAGGCCCUUCCUCAGCGUGGCUCCCAGCAGCGGAGACUGAGGGCUGAGAUGCCCUUUGGGGUGUUGUUGUUGGGGCCUGAGACGCAGGGCUGUCAGCCUCCAAACCAGCUCCCAGGCAAGCAUCCCUCACACCCCGUCAGUCCUGCCAGAGGGCUGUACUAAGCUAGGGGUUGAAUCAGAGCUGUAGCUGCUGGCCUACACCACAGCCACAGCAAUGCAGGAUCCGAGCCGCAUCUGCAACCUGCACCACAGCUCACGGCAGAUCCUUAACCACUGAGCGAGGCCAGGGAUGGAACCCAAAACCUCAUGCUUGCUAGUCGGGUUCGUUAACCAUUGAGCCUCAGAGGGAACUCCAAAGGAGUGAAUUCUUUCGUGGCAGCUCCCAUGAGCCUCCUAGAGCUCAGAGCUCCCAGGACAGCACUCGAUGGAGCCCAGCAGGGAGUUUCUGGUCUAACCACAGAAGUCACAGAAUAUCACUUCCACUGCAUCCUGCAGGCCAAGAAAACCACCAAGGGUCUAAUUUUAACAAAAUUCCACCAAAAGGAAGAAUUGGGACAUCCCACAUAACUCAUUUGGACUGGGAUGUGGCACCCGGAACAAGCGCCCCUCCAAACGCCCGAAGACAGCGUGAGCGUUGUCAGGUGCGAUCAGCGACUUCCUGGCAGGUGUGCUCAGGUGUGUUAGGAGGGACACAGCUCUGACGGCAGGCAGAGAAUGAGACCGAUAAGCCUGCACUCUGGGAUCCAGGCGCUCACAAGCAAGGGGCAAGAGGAGGUUUCCUGUUCUGGAUGAGAGGAGUCGUGUAGGAGGUAUGAGGAAUGAAGCCGUGGAAGUGAUGGGUGGACCUCAAACCCCACACCCCCAAAAAGGUCUGCCUUUAAUUGUUUUAUUAGAGAGUUCACCAAAAUUGGAACCAGGAAGAAAAAGAACAAGCCACAGAAAUUUGUUCUUGGCUCCAGUCAGACAGCUGAGCCCCAAACUGCGAUUCUAAAGUCUGUUUGCUAUUGAACAGGCGAAUCGAGGACCAAAAGGCACUGGCACAUCUAGUGGGCUCACAGGAGCCAUGGCCAAGUUGAGGGUUAGGGACAUGUGCCAGCAGCACGCUCGGGUACACUCUGUCCCUGCCCGAGUCUACUGCAGUAAUUAGCUUUGCUCAUUAGUUUCAAGUAAAUAAUCUCCUUGUCACAGCUGGGAUCCUUUAUCAGAACAGUGGACAUCAGGGUUUGCAAAAGCAAAGGAUUUCCCCCCCCACCCCCAGAAUUCCCUGGAACACUAAGUCAUGACCCAGAGAUUUGAAUGAAGGAAGGAAAUGUCCAAAGAGGUCUAAAAUUCCAAGGAAUAGCUCUGUCUAGAGAGUGGAAGCAUUGGGUAUGAAAAACAAAUGAAAAACAACAACAAAACCUUUGAAAUGGAUAUUGAUCUGUUCUUCAACUCAGUUUAAGUUCAGAUCAACAAAGACACGUAACUAUCUGCUAUAUAGCAGGAAAUGCAGCCCAGACCUCAGAGAUCCUGGGAGGAAACGGGUAAUAAAUGCACAAAUAGCAUUAACAUGCUAGUAAUGCACUCUGAUGGCAGAAUGUGCGGAGGGAGGGUGCCCAAGCCUGCCUGGGUCUUCAGGGAGGAUUUCCCGGAGGUGUGACUGGCACUGAUUUAAGACGAGAAGGAGCAGCGAGGAGCACUUCUGCAAGACUUGCAGAGGAGGGAGGCCUGGGCAUGAUUCUGAGCCUUUUAAAACAAUGGGCAAAAUACAUACGCUCAACCUUUUAUCCCUUGGUAUCCCAUCAUUAUGCCCAUUUCGAGGAAGGAGAAAAUGAAGAGAGAUUUCAACACUGCCCGUGGAUUGCCUGUGGGGUUGGGGUUGAGGGAGGACAAUGCUGGGAUAGUGAGGCAGGACCCUACCAGCCCUGGGGGCACCCAAUAAGGGGCUGACCCUUUAAACUCCGCCCCCAUCCCCCAAGCAUCGCCAGGGGCACCGGCAACACCCUUAGUGCCAAGGGCAUGGUCACUGCCAAAGAGGAGGCCAGAUUGCUCAUAGUCUCAACACCUGCCUGGGGCAGAGCUCAACACCAAACCCCAAUCUCCUUUCCAUGCAGGAGAACCUCGCUAGAAUUCAAUCCAGGCUGCCAGAGAGAAGAAAGGAGACAGGAGUAGUUGGGGGGCAAAAGGGAAACAUUUUCUCUUAGACUGACUGGAAAUCACAAGUUGGGGAGAAAAGGCCAAGAGGUAAAUGACUGCAUGCUGGUUGAGAGAAUGGACUUUGGGAUUAAGACAGUUCUGGGUGUAGGUCCCAGUUCUGCUGCUUCCUAACUGUAUGGACACGUUUCCCGAACUCCCUAUAGCUCAGUGUCCUCAUCUGUAAAGUGGGUGCAACAGCACUUACGCCAGUGGGUUGAUGGGAGAAUUAAACGCAAUAAUGUGU